rnacentral:rRNA from 1 species
AUGAAUCCGACCUACGCGUCGGGUCCGGAUGGCGUACCAGUGAAAUUCUUCCAGGUCUUCUGGCCCACCAUCAAGUGAGAGGUGAUGGCCCUCUUUCAGGAAUUUUACAUCGGCUCCAUCGACCUCUGCCGCCUCAACUUUGGGAUCAUCUCCCUGAUCCCCAAGGUUCCCGGCGCCUCAGACAUCCGCCAGUUCCGGCCGAUCACGGUGAUCAAUGUGAUCUUCUGCAUCCUGGCAAAGGGGUUCACCAUUAGGUUAGCUCCUUUGGCCAACCGCAUUACACAUCCUGACCAGCCAACCUUCAUCCAAGGGCAAUAUAUCUUGGAUGGGGUCCUAUCUUUCACGAGGUCCUCCAUGAGGUCCAUGCCAAACACCUGAAGGCCAUCUUCCUGAAGCUCGACUUCCACAAGGCAUACGACACGGUCAGUUGGCCCUUCCUUCAGGAAGUUUUGCUCCGUAAGGGGUUUGAUGACCAAUGGGUCACCCGGGUAA